rnacentral:rRNA from 1 species
AAAAGUGCAGACGCCUUGCACGCCACACCCCCAAGGGACACAGCAGUAAUUAAAAUUGGACUAUAAGUGUAAACUUGAUCCAGCCAUGGUUAAAUAAAGUUGGCCAACCUCGUGCCAGCCGCCGCGGUUACACGAGGGACUUAAGUUGAUGCCUCCGGCGUAUAGGAUGAUUAAGAGGAACUUUUACUAAAAUCAAAUAUUGGCCCUGCUGUUAUACGCGCUCGCCAACUAGAAACUCAAAAUUUUUAACUAACAGUACAUCUGAACUCAUGAAAGUCAGGAAAACAAACUAGGAUUAGAUACCCUACUAUGCCUGACCCUAAACUAUGACAAGUUUAACUACAUAACUUGCCCGCCAGGGAACUACAAGCCCAAGCUUAAAACCCAAAGGACUUGGCGGUGCCUCACACCCACCUAGAGGAGCCUGUUCUAGAACCGAUAAUCCACGUUUUACCCAACCUUCCCUAGCAUUUCAGCCUAUAUACCGCCGUCGCCAGCCAACCCCCUGAGGGUAGACUAGUUGGCAGGAUAGAUAACUCACG